CCCUUGCGGGGGGGGGGAGGGGGCAGGCAACCGAUACUUACUGGCAGGAGAAAUACCAUAAUCACAAAGGUGGUUUUCCCAGGGCAAUGCCUAUUUAUUGUACCUCGGGUGUUAUGACACCUGUAAUUUCCUUAAAUGUGGAAAAUUCGAUUGCAUGAUUUGUGGUAGUGGGGAACCGCUAUCGAGCUUUUCCCUGGAAAUGGCCUGUCUGACCUUAGAUUUUUGGGUUGAAACAAGCCUCGCGUGAUGGUGCACACGGUAGUGUGUGUCAGUGCAGCUAUUUCACACUCUUGUCUGUCUUCAUGCUAGCCUAACGUAUCAUUGUAAUACAGAGCUGUGCGUGGAGAUGGUACUGUAGAAAAGGGAAGUGUGUAGUUUCUUGUUUUCUCUGCAAGUUCUUCUCAGGAGGUGUCCUGUUCUAGUUUCUUAUGGGGGUGGUGUCUUGUAGGGAGUUUAAACUGCUGUUUUUCCUGGUGUUUGUGAGUUGUACGUUCACCACUAUUUGGACUGACAUUUUAGUUUACGCGAUGCUUGGGAAGUGGACAGCUCAUUGAGGAACGCGCUGCGUGUAAAGACCUUCCUGCACCCUUUACGGCUUCCAAAGUUACCAGCGCAACGAUGUACUGCUGCUGUGGAGGACCAACAUAAUCUCCAGUAAUAGCAAGCCUGUACGCGGGCUAGGAUAAGUGAGCAGCAGGGCCCGAAAAGCCAAGAUCCAUGUCGGGAAAGCCCAAGGGUCAGUGGUGGAAACCAGAAAGUCCAUGCCAGCAGGAUGAAGAGUUCACCCUAGUGUCUUAUGCAAGUCCACACCAGCAGGCUGAUGGUUUAUGACGGAAGGCCGAAGGCUCUGUGAUGAAAGGCCGAAGAGUCUACACUGGAAGCCAGAAGACGAGGUCCAAACCAAAGGCAAAGACUAGAGCUUCUCCCAUAGCCAGGAUUCAUGGGUCCAGGAAUCAAGGGGUAGAAGCAGUAAUGGUACCACUCACCGUUACCCCUAGUUUCCACUAGAAAAAUUUUUGCUUCCUGUCCCCAUGACUUCAUGUUCUGCUGGCCUACAAGUUUUGGUUCCAGAGUGGGGAAGGCUUAUGCCAGGAAGCACGAAAAUGGUACCAUUGAACUGGAAAGCUAAGACUUCCCCCUGGUCAUCUUGGUCUCCUCAUGCCUCUGAGGAAACAAGCUAAAAACAGAGUCACAGUGUUGUCAGGGGUGAUUGACCCAGACUACCAAGGGGAAGUUGGACUACUACUCCGUAAUGGAGGAAAGUUGCCAGCAUAAAGAGGUGGAGAAGGAGAAGGAAGGUGCUGAGGCAUUAAUGUGUUGUUGCGUUGAGGCAUUGUGGGUUCUCCCACGAGUUGCUGGUUGAGCCAUUGGUUCUCCUGGAGAAGCUUUGGUUCUCACAUUGAUCACUGCUUCCUGGCUCCGGAGGUGAAGACGUGUGCUGCUUGGUCUCCAGGAUAAGCUCGUCACGAUGGCUUCCUGGCAUGUACCCGACUGUGUUUGUUGUUGGAGGAGCUCGGGGCCUCCAUGUCACUGAGGAUGGCUGUGGUGCCUUUCAGGACAGCCCUGGUCUUUGUUGUGAGUGUGACUUAUUGGCUCCAGCAUAGAACCCUCAUUUCACCAGCACAGCUCCUUUAACCCACUGGCAACUUUCCUCAGAUGGAGCAUCUUCAUUAGCUGCCAUGCUGAUGUUCUCCAGCUGGCGUUGAGUUGACCACCAGUUCUUAAUCCAUAACAACAGCACAAUGAGUCACCAUCAGGACACACUAUCACAUAAAGAUGUGAGGAUUGUGAUUAGCAAUCAUGAAAAGAAAGAUUUUUUAAACAUAGCAAAGGACCAUGAAAAAUCCGUCCAACAGGUUUUAGGUGAUGCAAAGAAUAACAAGAUUGAUUGGGGUCAAUGGAAAAGCCAGGCAUAACACAAAUGACAUACAAAAUCCUGUUCAAAGAAGUUCUCUGAGUUCGAGGCCAGCCUGGGCCACAACAUGAGUUCAAGGCCAGUCUGAAGUGCAUAGCGAAAUUUUGUCUCAAAAAGACAAAACUAUAAACAAAGUACGAGGGAAGAACUCUGAAAUAAAUGUUAAAUGGUCUGGUGUGAAGGCGCAUGAUGUAAUCCAGUACUCUGCUUGAGGCAGGGGAUCUCGCAGAGUUCGAAAUCCGAAUCUAAAGAGCCAGGGAGCAAGCAUGCAGAGUACAAUAAGCCACCUGCAUAAAACAACACAGCGAGCUCAGGACUCCAACCACAAAUCCCAAACAGAAACUCCGUUGUUCGGCGCUGAGCUCAGGCCGCCGCGAUUGCUCUCAUUUCUACUCUCCUUACCCCAAGAUAGUCGGUGCAAUUGCCAGGUGUUCCAGGGGAGAGACAUCGCAGGGCGCUGAACCGGUGGCCCCUUUUCUGUGCCCACAGGCAUCUUUGCCCUGAGGCCCAGGGGUUACCUGAGCACUGGGGGCCCUGGCCCAGGCGCUGGGUCCCCGGGCGGGCGAGUCCGGGCCUCCGACGUCAGCGAGAUCAGGGGGCCGAAGGUGCGCAGUGCCCCAAGCGAGGUGGCCAAGGGGGCACCCAGGCGCCAACACCCGGAGGUGGGGGUCGGCAAAUUCCCCGUGGACACAGACUCCCCUGCAGCCUGGUUUCCCGCCGCAGACUCCUAAGAAGCCGACAGAGGGCGCAGGGGACCCGGCUGAGCCCCGCAAUGGAACCGAGAGCGGGAGGACGCAGAGACCUGGAGAGCCCUGGCCUACACAGCCUCCAUCUCUGGCGGGGAACCUGCCUGCCUCCUAAAAGAACGGGUGCGAGAGGACUCUAGGGCCCCCAGGUUUCUUGCUUUUGUUUAGGUUCUGUUCUGUUUAAGCCUCCAUCCACAGGUUCCCAGGACAGAGGGACCUGAAUCACCCCAUUGACUAACAUCCUGGGCGCCAAGCUUUUCAGAGGGUGUGGUUUACACUGCGGAGGAAAAUUGUCCUCAGCACAGCUAAACAGUAAGGUCCCACCGAGAUUUGAACUCGGAUCGCUGGAUUCAGAGUCCAGAGUGCUCACCAUUACACCAUGGAACCCACAUGAAUACGCACUGCACUGUUGUCCUAAGUGAGGAAACACAUGUCACCAUCAGCACGCACAGAUUAACCCCAGGUGUAACCUCUGACUUCACCUUGGCCUCAAGGCACGACUAAAGGGAAGACUGCUACAAGCAGCCAUUACACACCGCCCUCUGACUCACUUUACCACACUUGCCUGCCGGGAAAGGCCUGCAAGCACACGCUCAUUUCCCUUUUCCUGGCUUCACAGUUAUCUCACUGUCCCAGGAUGCUCAGGGCAGAACGUGACAUUCCUGGCUUCCUUGGUCCCAUGGCACCUACCACCUCCUGGAACUCCAGCUGCACUCUAUAAAGACCUAUCAGCCAGAAAAGAACAAACAUUGCCUUGUUGUUGCUGUUGUUGUUGUAGUAACGUUUUGUUUGUUUGGAGUCGGUUUCAGUUACUUUUUUCUCUCCUUGCUGAGACAAAAUACUUAACACUCAAAGUUAAGGAAGGAAAGGUUUAUUUAGCUCACAGUUUGUGGAGCUUACAAUCCACACUCAGCUGGCUCCAAGGCAGGGUGGCAUGGCAGAGAAAUAGUUCAUGGUGGCCAUAAGUCAGCAAAAGCAGCGAGAGAAAAAAAUUUAAAAAGGAGGAGCCAAGAGACACUCUUUCUGUCCUUUAUAUUGUAUCUAGGGCGGAUGUGGCACUCACCCCAUAAUCUCAGCACUGGACCCUGAAUUAAUAACAAACUAUGAGCCUGCCUCCAUGCCUACAGGAGAUUUUGGGGAGACAUCCAGACACAGAGUGCUUCUGAUCAUGAAUAUGUUUGUUGAAUUAAAGUAAAAAGUAAGCAACCUUGUUUAAUGUUUACAUAAAACACUCAAGCUGGCCACAAAA